rnacentral:rRNA from 1 species
UGGGGAAUAUUGCACAAUGGGCGCAAGCCUGAUGCAGCCAUGCCGCGUGUGUGAAGAAGGCCUUAGGGUUGUAAAGCACUUUCAGUAAGGAGGAAAGGUUAGUAGUUAAUACCUGCUAGCUGUGACGUUACUUACAGAAGAAGCACCGGCUAACUCCGUGCCAGCAGCCGCGGUAAUACGGAGGGUGCGAGCGUUAAUCGGAAUUACUGGGCGUAAAGCGUACGCAGGCGGUUUGUUAAGCGAGAUGUGAAAGCCCCGGGCUCAACCUGGGAACUGCAUUUCGAACUGGCAAACUAGAGUAUGAUAGAGGGUGGUAGAAUUUCAGGUGUAGCGGUGAAAUGCGUAGAGAUCUGAAGGAAUACCGAUGGCGAAGGCAGCCACCUGGGUCAAUACUGACGCUCAUGUACGAAAGCGUGGGGAGCAAACGGGAUUAGAUACCCCCGUAGUCC